rnacentral:rRNA from 1 species
GUAAUGCCGGAUGCUCCAGUUGAUCGCAUGGUCUUCUGGGAAAGCUUUCGCGGUAUGGGAUGGGGUCGCGUCCUAUCAGCUUGACGGCGGGGUAACGGCCCACCGUGGCUUCGACGGGUAGCCGGCCUGAGAGGGCGACCGGCCACAUUGGGACUGAGAUACGGCCCAGACUCCUACGGGAGGCAGCAGUGGGGAAUAUUGCACAAUGGGCGCAAGCCUGAUGCAGCGACGCCGCGUGAGGGAUGGAGGCCUUCGGGUUGUAAACCUCUUUUAUCGGGGAGCAAGCGAGAGUGAGUUUACCCGUUGAAUAAGCACCGGCUAACUACGUGCCAGCAGCCGCGGUAAUACGUAGGGUGCAAGCGUUAUCCGGAAUUAUUGGGCGUAAAGGGCUCGUAGGCGGUUCGUCGCGUCCGGUGUGAAAGUCCAUCGCUUAACGGUGGAUCCGCGCCGGGUACGGGCGGGCUUGAGUGCGGUAGGGGAGACUGGAAUUCCCGGUGUAACGGUGGAAUGUGUAGAUAUCGGAAA